AAUAGGUGAAAUAGUUUUGACAGUUGCAUCAAGCGGGAUAGCUGGAGAAUUUCAGAUUGGAUCUAUCUUUCUCCUCUAUAUACAUGUGCUUUGUUUGAGGCAGAUCAGACAAUUGGUAUUUUUCCUAAUCUCUCUACACUUCAUUUGUAUUUUUCUAUCAUUGCUUACUCUCUUUUUUCAUUGAAUCUUAUUCUUUGUGUGAGGUUUCUGAAAAGUGCAGGUGAGGUAAUGUGGGUUUGUGAGUUAUUUUUUUAAAGACUUAUUUUGCCAAUCACACAAGAUUUGGAGUUUAUUUACGAUUGGCAAAUCACAUAGUAAUGGUCUUCACUUAUCAAUUAAUUUCGGAUUGGAUUCUAUACUUUUUGGUUGAGUUCUUGAUCUGUAGACAAUGCUUCGGUUCCUGUUGGAUGCAUCUCAUUUGAUUAUGUGCGGUCUUUUUGCCUUGAGUUAGCCUGUCAUUGAGUUGAAGUACCUCAGUCUGAGUGGUGUGUUCCAGUUUUAGCAGUGUUGAGAUAUGCAUAUUGUUUUCGGAUUUUGGCUGCUGUAUUUUGAGUGGGGAGUUGAUGUAUCCAUCAGUAGAGAUGUGAAUUGCAAACUAUCCAUUUCAGGCUAUUUUUCUGCUCAGCAAAUUUGUUUGGACUGUUGCUGUAUUUUGUGAGAGGUGUCUUAUAAUUAUGCAUCUCAUGCUUCUUUUAGGCAGCAAUUACCUCUGUUUGUUUUGUUUACGAAGUUUAGGUGAUCAAGUUUCUUUCAACUUAAGCAUAAGAAUAUGUGUUUUGAUCAAGUUUUGAGUGGUUUUGGUGUUAUAUCUCUCUUUUGUUUGGCACAUUGUAAAGGUGUAAUUUGGUUAUGUGAUCAACUUAUUAGCGUUGAACACUUCUGUAAACUAUAAUUAUGCUGAAAUAUUUUAAUAUAUUUUUGUUACAAACUA